rnacentral:rRNA from 1 species
GACGAACGCUGGCGGCGUGCUUAACACAUGCAAGUCGAACGGAAAGGCCCUGCUUUUGUGUGUUGCUCGAGUGGCGAACGGGUGAGUAACACGUGAGUAACCUGCCCUUGACUUUGGGAUAACUUCAGGAAACUGGGGCUAAUACCGGAUAGAAUCUCCUGCUGCAUGGUUGGGGUUGGAAAGUUUCGGCGGUUGUGGAUGGACUCGCGGCUUAUCAGCUUGUUGGUGGGGUAGUGGCUUUCCAAGGCUUUGACGGGUAGCCGGCCUGAGAGGGUGACCGGCCACAUUGGGACUGAGAUACGGCCCAGACUCCUACGGGAGGCAGCAGUGGGGAAUAUUGCACAAUGGGCGGAAGCCUGAUGCAGAAACGCCGCGUGCGGGAUGACGGCCUUCGGGUUGUAAACCGCUUUCGCCUGUGACGAAGAGUGAGUGACGGUAAUGGGUAAAGAAGCACCGGCUAACUACGUG